rnacentral:rRNA from 1 species
AGAGUUUGAUCAUGGCUCAGAUUGAACGCUGGCGGCAGGCCUAACACAUGCAAGUCGAACGGUAGCACAGAGAGCUUGCUCCCUGGGUGACGAGCGGCGGACGGGUGAGUAAUGUCUGGGAAACUGCCUGAUGGAGGGGGAUAACUACUGGAAACGGUAGCUAAUACCGCAUAACGUCGCAAGACCAAAGAGGGGGACCUUCGGGCCUCUUGCCAUCAGAUGUGCCCAGAUGGGAUUAGCUAGUAGGUGGGGUAAUGGCUCACCUAGGCGACGAUCCCUAGCUGGUCUGAGAGGAUAACCAGCCACACUGGAACUGAGACACGGUCCAGACUCCUACGGGAGGCAGCAGUGGGGAAUAUUGCACAAUGGGCGCAAGCCUGAUGCAGCCAUGCCGCGUGUAUGAAGAAGGCCUUCGGGUUGUAAAGUACUUUCAGCGAGGAGGAAGGCGUUGUGGUUAAUAACCGCAGCGAUUGACGUUACUCGCAGAAGAAGCACCGGCUAACUCCGUGCCAGCAGCCGCGGUAAUACGGAGGGUGCAAGCGUUAAUCGGAAUUACUGGG